UGCAGAUUUACUCUGAACUGGAAGCCGUCUUAUAAAAAAGAUGAUGUGCAGGAGUAAAAAGCUAUUGUGAAGGGAAAAGUGAGGUUCAAGAUAAAGUACAGUGGUUCUACAAGGCAGCAUUAGGGACAGUCUCUGAAGAAACCUUUAAUUGGUGGUAUCUGGUGCCAUAAGUUAUUCUUCAGUCUAUUCAUUGUGGAGCUUUCCAUCCUGUUUGUGCUCAGUGAUAAAUAAAGUGGCCUCUGCUUUAUGAAUGGCUAUAAUUAAUUGGAGCUGAAGGAAUAAACAGCAUAGAAACCAGAUCACAGGAUCACAGGAGGGUGAGGGAAGAAGGGGAAGACACUCACUCAUUGAAAAGGAUCCAUUGACAUCAUCUCUUCCUGACCUGAAACACAUCAUACCAACUGAGGAUAAUGUGACCUUCAAACUCUGGCAUGGCACAGAAAAAGGCAUUCCAUGUUGGUCUUUAGGAAUCUUCUCCCCAAGAAGAAAAAGGUCAGUUAUAAAGACAUCCUUCCAGAAGAGAGGAACAUUCUGGAUCCUGCUCAGGGAGAAAGAUGAAGAUCUAGCUGAAUAUAGAAGUAAGAGGGACCAUAGCCAUACAGGCCAGGCUUCCUAACCACUGUGUUCAGGGUCUGUGUUCUAUGUGUUAACUGUGUUCUAUGACAUCUCAUGAGGAAGAGAACAAAGAAAUAAUGUUCAGACCAGUGAUACUUUUCCCAUUAAAUUAUUCCCAUUAAAGUCUUGUAUGUAUCAAAUAAAUGCAAUACUUUUCCAGAU